rnacentral:rRNA from 1 species
GAUCAUGGCUCAGGGUGAACGCUAGCUACAGGCUUAACACAUGCAAGUCGAGGGGCAGCAUGAACUUAGCUUGCUAAAUUUGAUGGCGACCGGCGCACGGGUGAGUAACACGUAUCCAACCUUCCGUUUACUCGGGGAUAGCCUUUCGAAAGAAAGAUUAAUACCUGAUAGUAUGGUGAGAUUGCAUGAUAACACCAUUAAAGAUUUAUUGGUAAACGAUGGGGAUGCGUUCCAUUAGGUAG